GAUGGACGCUGGCGGCGUGCUUAACACAUGCAAGUCGAACGAAGCAUUUAGAACAGAUUACUUCGGUUUGAAGUUCUAUAUGACUGAGUGGCGGACGGGUGAGUAACGCGUGGGUAACCUGCCUUGUACUGGGGGAUAGCAGCUGGAAACGGCUGGUAAUACCGCAUAAGCGCACAAUGUUGCAUGACAUGGUGUGAAAAACUCCGGUGGUAUAAGAUGGACCCGCGUCUGAUUAGCUAGUUGGUGAGAUAACAGCCCAACAAGGCGACGAUCAGUAGCCGACCUGAGAGGGUGACCGGCCACAUUGGGACUGAGACACGGCCCAGACUCCUACGGGGGGCAGCAGUGGGGAAUAUUGCACAAUGGAGGAAACUCUGAUGCAGCGACGCCGCGUGAGUGAAGAAGUAAUUCGUUAUGUAAAGCUCUAUCAGCAGGGAAGAUAGUGACGGUACCUGACUAAGAAGCUCCGGCUAAAUACGUGCCAGCCGCCGCGGUAA
rnacentral:rRNA from 1 species